AAGCGCACACUGGAAACCGUGUCCCAAAUGGCACCUUAUUCACUACCAAAGUGUCCUAUGGGCCCUGGUUAGAAGCAGUGCACUAUAUAGGGAAUAUGGUGUCAGUGGGGAAACUGCCAGAUGCUGGGAGAUGGAUGGAUAAUGAAGAAGUGCUUUGGAGAGGACCUGAGCCCUAAAAUCAUGCCUCAGGACCACCUGGCCUGAUGACUCCUUGUUGUCCCCAGUCCACCUGGCCAUGCUGCUGCUCCAGUUUCAACUGACCUGAGCCCUAGGACCAUGCCUCAGGACCACCUGGCCUGAUGACUCCUUGUUGUCCCCAGUCCACCUGGCCAUGCUGCUGCUCCAGUUUCAACAGUUCUGCCUGCGGCUAUGGAACCCUGACCUGUUCACCACCUGUCCCAGACCUGCUGUUUUCAACUCUCUAGAGACAGCAGGAGUGGUAGAGAUACUCUUAAUGAUCGGCUAUGAAAAACCAACUGACAUUUACUCCUGAGGUGCUGACUUGUUGCAUCCUCAACAACUACUGUGAUUAUUAUUAUUUGACCAUGCUGGUAAUCUAUGAACAUCUGAACAUCUUGGCCAUGUUCUGUUAUAAUCUCCACCCGGCACAGCCAGAAGAGGACUGGCCACCCCUCAUAGCCUGGUUCCUCUCUAGGUUUCUUCCUAGCUUCUGGCCUUUAUAGGGAGUUUUUCCUAGCCACCGUGCUUCUACACCUGCAUUGCUUGCUGUUUGGGGAUUUAGGCUGGGUUUCUGUACAGCACUUUGAGAUAUCAGCUGAUGUAAGAAUACAUUUAAUUUGAUUCGUGUUUUUGUGUAGUUGGACAAAGAAAUAAAUGUAGUCAUUUAAUAUAAAUGCCAUCUCAAUAUUAGUGCUACUGGUGAAAUCUCUGAGUAAGAUCACACUCUGAGUGUGCAAUAACCAAUGGGCUAUUCAACACAACGUGUGUUUAUAAGAAAUGAUCGUGACAAAGAUGGAAAUUAUUGAUCAAAAGCAGCAAAUAAUUUAUUCGAGACAAGUCGGUAGACUUGAUUUCACUAUUUCUUUAUAUUACAACACAAUGAAACAUAUAGAAUGUAUUUUUUAUUUUUUAUUCUUCAUUGGAAGUUCCCAUAAUCAAAUCUUCCAUCCUUCUGUGACAUCAUUGGUACAAUUGCUUCAAAUCUUCUCUUCCUCUGUAGAACGUAAAAGGUUUAAAUACACCACUAUAUCUAUUAAAAUGGACAUAGAGUAUCAACAGAA